rnacentral:misc_RNA from 1 species
GGAAGUAAAAGUCGUAACAGGGUUUCCGUAGGUGAACCUGCGGAAGGAUCAUUAUUGGAUUUUGAAACUUCAGGCUGCUGCUGGCUCUCCUCGGAGGGCAUGUGCACGCUUGUUGUCCAUUAUUUCUCCCACUGUGCACAAAUUGUAGACCUUUCAGUAGGCCCAUGUUGUUUUUCACAAUCUCUGAAUGUAAUAGAAUGGUUUCGAAUCUUGGGAAAUACAAUACAACUUUCAGCAACGGAUCUCUUGGCUCUC